rnacentral:antisense_RNA from 1 species
GAUGUCAUCACGAGGCGACGCCGCCGCUAGCCACGCGCGCCCCGCGGCCCUCGGAGCUUUUGCAGGAGGCUUUGGUGGGGCCGAGCGGCUGCGGUGAGGACGAGGGAGGGGCUGUGGCGUCCCUACCGCCCGAGCUCUUUCCGCGUUUAGGAUUUUUAGAGGCGCGGCUCAUGGCGGCGUGGCAGUCUUAGAGCUGCGGGGAUGCGAGCAUGCGCAAUGCGCGCCUGCCAGAGCGAGGGGAGGGUGGAACCUCCGCAUGGAGCAUGCGCCGUGCAUACGGGUGGAGGAGCGAGGUUCGGGAGGCCCGUCGG